CUGGACCUCCAAGAAGUAAGCAGCUGGGUGCGGAUGGAGCCCUGGACUUGGAGGCAGGAGAC
rnacentral:miRNA from 1 species